rnacentral:tRNA from 1 species
AAGGACUUAAGUUAAGUAAACUAUUAGCCUUCAAAGUUGAAAUUAAAAUAAAUUUUUAGGCCUUA